rnacentral:rRNA from 1 species
GACGAACGCUGGCGGCGUGCUUAACACAUGCAAGUCGAACGGAAAGGCCCUGCUUGCAGGGUACUCGAGUGGCGAACGGGUGAGUAACACGUGGGUGAUCUGCCCUGCACUUCGGGAUAAGCCUGGGAAACUGGGUCUAAUACCGGAUAGGAGCCAUUUUUAGUGUGAUGGUUGGAAAGUUUUUUCGGUGUAGGCUGAGCUCGCGGCCUAUCAGCUUGUUGGUGGGGUAAUGGCCUACCAAGGCGGCGACGGGUAGCCGGCCUGAGAGGGUGGACGGCCACAUUGGGACUGAGAGACGGCCCAGACGCCUACGGGAGGCAGCAGUGGGGAAUAUUGCACAAGGGGCGCAAGCCUGAUGCAGCGACGCCGCGUGGGGGAUGACGGCCUUCGGGUUGUAAACUCCUUUCGCUAGGGACGAAGCUUUUUGUGACGGUACCUAGAUAAGAAGCACCGGCUAACUACGUG